rnacentral:tRNA from 1 species
GAGGGUAUAGCUCAAGUGGUAGAUAGAGCGCAUGCUUAGCAUGCAUGAGGUCCUGGGUUCAAUCCCCAGUACCUCCU